UGGAAGUAAAAGUCGUAACAAGGUUUCCGUAGGUGAACCUGCGGAAGGAUCAUUAAAAAAUAGGACUUCCAAUGGGAGUUCAUUAAUAAUCCUACUCUUUGUGAAUUUGUUUGUUUGAAAUAAUUUUUUUUCCAAAAAAAUUAUUGAAUGUCUUUCCCUGUUUUUGGUUGAAGCGUAAAAGUGGAGACCAAGCAGGGGAAUGGCAAACAUUAAUUUUUUUGAAAAAAGACCUUUUUUAAAAUUAAACUUUUUGUAUUCAUUUGUCUAAAAUUAUUUUUAUAAUAUAAAAACAACUUUUGACAAUGGAUCUCUUGGUUCUCGCAACGAUGAAGAACGCAGCAAAAUGCGAUAAGUAAUGUGAAUUGCAGAAUACGUGAAUCAUCGAAUCUUCGAACGCAUAUUGCACUUUUUUAGUUUACUAAAAAAGUAUGUCUGUUUGAGUAUCAGUAAAAUAUUCUCAUAAAAAACUUUUUUUGUUUUUUAUGGUUAUGAGUGUUUUACAACGAUAAACAAGUUGUUUCACUUUAAAUUCUUUGGAAUUUAAAAAAUCGUUAAAACUAAUUUUAAAAUGAUUUUUUAAAAUUGGAUAAAAUUUUCCCGUAAAAAGGGAAUAACCUAAACAAUUUUAAAAGGUUUAAAAUUGGUUGAUUUUUUUAAAUCCCAAAAGGAAAAAAGUAAAAAUUAACUUGAUCUCAAAUCAGAUAAGAGUACCCGCUGAACUUAAGCAUAUCAAUAAGCGGAGGAAAAGAAACUAACUAGGAUUCCCUCAGUAACGGCGAGUGAAGCGGGAAGAGCUCAAAUUUGAAAUCUUCAAGGUUCUACCUUGACGAAUUGUAGUUUAAAGAAGUGUUUUCUGUUGGAAUAGUUUGGUAUAAGUUCUUUGGAAUAGGACAUCAUGGAGGGUGAGAAUCCCGUAACGACCAUUUAUUCCAGCUCUGUGAUACACUUUCAAAGAGUCGGAUUGUUUGGGAAUGCAGUCCAAAAUGGGUGGUAAAUUUCAUCUAAAGCUAAAUAUUGGCGAGAGACCGAUAGCGAACAAGUACCGUGAGGGAAAGAUGAAAAGAACUUUGAAAAGAGAGUUAAACAGUACGUGAAAUUGUCAAAAGGGAAGCGUUUGACACCAGUGUUGUUUUCUCGAAAAUCAAUUAAAAAUGGCUUGAUUUUGUGUAAGGCGACCUUAUCAGCGUUUUGCACUCUUUUCUUGUCCUUUUUUAAUGCACUUUUCGUUUAACAAGUCAACAUCAAUUUCUUUUGUUGUAAAAGAGUCAUUGGAAGGUGGCUUUCUUUUCGGAGAAAGUGUUUAUAGCCUUUGGCUUCUGCAAUCGGAGAGAUUGAGGUCUGCAGCGUAGAUCCUUCGGGGUUAGAUGCAUUAGUGCUAAGUUAUAGCCUUUCAUAGACAACUUGUUGACUAUGAUCAGUCAUGUAGCUUACUCGCUGAUGUUAUUUUACCUACGCUUAGGAUGU
rnacentral:misc_RNA from 1 species